UACGUAGGGUGCGAGCGUUAAUCGGAAUUACUGGGCGUAAAGCGUGCGCAGGCGGUUUUGUAAGCCAGAUGUGAAAUCCCCGGGCUUAACCUGGGAAUGGCAUUUGGGACUGCAAGGCUGGAGUUUGGCGGAGGAGACUGGAAUUCCUGGUGUAGCAGUGAAAUGCGUAGAUAUCAGGAGGAAUACCGAUGGCGAAGGCAGGUCUCUGGGCUAUAACUGACGCUCAUGCACGAAAGCGUGGGGAGCAAACAGG
rnacentral:rRNA from 1 species